GAAUGCUACCAAUAGAGGGUGGCGAUGAGCAGAGGGUUUUGUUUGCGGUAGAUCAGACCUCCAACAACUGCCCCUCAUUCCAGCCCUCUCUCUCUCUCUCUCUCUCUCUCUCUCUCUCUCUCUCUCUCUCUCUCUCUCUCUCUCUCUCUCAGUGCAUGAACUUCAUCCUAGGUAGUUAACCAUUCGAACAGCUGCGCUCCAGUUUCUCAGUUUUCCUCGCUCUCUCUCUCUCCGACUGAAUGCACUUCCUUACUUUCAGCCCUCCCUCUCGCGCUCUCUCCUCCUCUACAUCCUCAAUCUCUCAGCAGCAGCAGCAGUUUGCGUCCUGAGAGAACUGGGACGAACAUCCAUGGGGCGCGCGCAGCAUCUUUAUUUCCCCACGUUGCAAUUUGAGGUCAUAUAGGUGGAAUAUUCACGCCGACGCAGCAAACAAACUUGAGUCGUUCGGCGUUUAAUCUACCGGUUUAAAACGCACCAUAUCUGUUUUUAUUUGUGACAUUUGUGGCUGUGCUGAACUGUGGUGAUGGAUGGGGAUGCGUGUGUUCGCGUGUGGACUCGACCGCUGCAAGUGAUGCUCCAGCAGAAGAAGAUCAAAGCGCGGAGGAAAAAGCGCAAGGAGUUGUUCGGGGGACAGAUGUGCUUCUUGGGGCUGCUGCUGUUGGCGGUGUCCUUCCUGUCCGGUUUGGCUGACAAUUCCGGUUAUGGCAUCUCCAGUCUCUCAGCUGAAGAUAGUGAGAUGUGGGAGAGUCGCAGGCUGCUGCAGGACUUUGGCAUUGACAGCAACUACACUGAUGAGGUGCAGGUUGGGCCCAAUGCUGAAAAGAACUGCACACCACCUGGUAAGAGGUUUAGGACCACACACACGUAAAACCUCACACAACUUACCAGCUCUUUUGCUUCAACAGCACAGAUGAAACAGGAAAAUGAUUGUUGUUUGUAAGAAACUAAGCAUGACAGAUGACUAAUGUCACAAUGGAAACAACACCUUGAUAUGAUUAAGCAAGAAGUCAUGUUAGGUUUCAAAUCUGAAAAACUUUUUUUUGUUUUGAGGGUAGAAUUUUCCUAUUGGGAUGUGUAUUGGAUUGUGAACUAUUUUCUAUGAACUUAAAGAUCAAGUGGUUUUUCUAAAAUGAAAUAUCCUCUUUUAUUUGUUCUCCUUUGGUUUGUGAGUCCACAGAGGUGUUAGUCCUGUAUCAGGACUCUCUUGUCAUCAGUAAGCCAGACACUAACUCUUUUGUUGCAUGGGAGUGAGUAAUCUCGCUGACACAGACUUUGCUAUUGUUUCUCUUGUGGCUCGCUGGCUAGAGAACAUAAUGUGUAUUUCAAACCCAUGAGCAGUGACCAGUUCAAAGGUUAACAGUAGAUUUCUGGCCAAGGUGAAAACCAGAAAGGUCACCCAAUGAAGACAUUAGGGCUUAUGAAAAAUAUUGGUGCUGUAAGAAAAGUCAGCAGAUCAAGACUCUAUCAGCUGAGUUUGAUUUUGAAUUUGGUUCAUGUCUGUAGCCUACAAGAUCUCAUGGUAAACUGAUUCAUACCAACUUGUAAUUUCUGACAGAAUUAGUAUAAACAAUGUGACAUUUCCAAUCUGUUCCUCAUAAUUUUUCCUCAUUGUUAUUCAUUGUUUAUUUGCACAGUUGGUGUAGCUCCUCUGUGUAAUUCAAUGCACUAGGCUAGACCAUGCUCCACACUCUUGGCUAUUGUGAAAAGGCCAAUUAGAACCAGUCUGAGAGAGAGGCGAGGAUGAACAAAGGGGUCAUCGAUACUGUGUGGGUCAAAAGAUUCACCAUCUCUGUCUUCUUACUAAGCUCUACUCUUUCCUCCUGCAAUGUGUUUACUGUGGCUGGGAUCUACUACAGCACACUGUUAGUAUCUGAUUCCACUUCUCUGCUCAGUUUGUUUGUUGUCAGGAACUUCAUACAUGGAACUUUUAUAUAGUGGCACCAAAAAGUAAUUGGACAGUGAGAAAAAUUAUGCAGUAUAUUAAUACAGUAAUGUUAUGAACAGGGCCCCUCGUCAGCUAAGGACGGCCCUGGUUUUGAAAUAUUGUUUCAGUUUAAAUUUGUAAUAACUAUUUUUCUAUUUUAAUAUAUCUUUAAAUAUAAUUAAUUAUUGUGUUGGCAAAGUUAUUCAGCAAUCAUUACACCAGUUGAGUCACAUCAUCCUUCAGAAAUCAUUCUAAUGUGCUGAUUUGGUGCUCAAGAAACAUUUCUUAUUAUUAUCAAUGCUGAGAACAGUAGUGCUGCUUGAUAUUUUUAGUGUAAAUACUUUUUUUUCCAGGAUUUGUUGAUGAACAUUAGGUUUCAAAAUAACAAUCUAUUGGAAAAGGGCAUCUUUUCUAUCGGUUUAAUAUGGUAAAUGUAAUACUUUCUUGUAGUCUUUGUUGAAUAAAAGUAUUAAUGUAUUUUUUAAAAUCUUGCUGACUUUUGAAUGUUAGUGUAUAUUCAAAAAUGAGACAUUUAAAAAAAUAAAAAAUAAACAAGUGACAAAAAAGUAAAAGUAAAAUUAACUGUGGAAAUUACUGUAUUGAUAUUUAUUUGGAGAAGCCACACAUCCAUACAGGGAACACUUACCCUGCAGUGAAUACAGAGGAAUGUCAAGUCUUAUGGAUGGUGAGAUAGAGCAAAACUUAUGAUUUAAGAAAUAAAACAGUGCACUUUCCAUGGGGAGCCAUUGUUUUUGCAGUGAGCUCAGUGUGUAACGACCCAGCUCUGCUGUUAGGAGGUGUAAAGGGAGCAGCUUUGCUUCCGUAACACAGCAUGGCCUGCCUGCUUUUGUUUGUGUUAUUUUUUUUUUCUUCUUUUCUUUUUUUUUUUUUUUGAGAGAGCGGAUUUGGGUGAAUGUUUCCAAGUGGGAUCCUGGUGUUUUAGGAGGCUGUGUUUCUUGCCAAACAUCUCCUUGAUCUCGCCGUGAAAGAGUGAGCUGUACUCUUAAGAUCUCGCUCGUGUCCAGAUGCCCGCUCCCCCACCCGUCUCCAACACCAGCCUGGCGCCUUGGCACAGGUUGAGGGUUUCCUUACUCUACUGUUUAAAACUAUUCUUCCUUUAAUACAGCUAGAAUUCUACACAUUACACUAGAGAAUAAGUCUGGCUCAUAUCCUGAUAUUUAAACCUAGAUUUUACUACACGUACAUAAAUUGGGAAUAACAACAUUGUUUACAGUAAAUGCAUGAAUGAAUGUCCUAAUGCAAGACUCAUUCCUGAAUUUACAAUGAUUGACAAAGUGAUAACCCAAACCAAGGUUUUAGUCUCUAGGCUGCAAACAAGAAAUUUGCAAAUCCAGAAUUUGGGAUAUUUCAGACUGGAGACCUAUUCUGGUGUCAUAGAAUAAACAACAAAACAAACCUUGUUUUGUUCUUAAUAGUAAUUCUUUAUUUACCAAAGUCGCAUUCAUUAAUAAAAAGUAAUAGUAAAGACAUUUAUUCUGUUUAAUAUUUAUAUUUUCAGCAUUUAUUUAAAAAUUGUAUUUGGAAUUUCAAUUGAAAUUUAUUUUUUAACUCAGCACAACUGUUUUCAACAUUAAUCAUACUAAUACAUGUAUUUUUUACCAAAUCAGCAUAUUAGAAUGAUUUCUGAAAGAUCAUGUGACACUGGAAACUGUAAAACACACAAGUUCAGCUUUGCCGUAACAAGAAAUAUUGUAUAAUAUAGUUUUAAUCUGAAAGCACUGUAUUUUAUUAAAUUGUAUUUUCUUU
ensembl:lncRNA